UUCUAGAACAUUCUCUGGCUACCUAAAGAAUUCUAGAACAUUGUCUAGGUACCUAGAGAAUCUCUAGAGUACCUAGGAUUCCCUGCCUGAAUGGCCCCAAGCCUUUUUCCAGCUUUCUUCAGGCCUCUUUCCCUAGGCCAUCCUACCAAAGGCAGAGGUCACAGCCAGUAUGCCCAAGCUUCAGGGAGGGUGUGCAGUUUGACCCACAUACAUCUUCUUCCUCUUCCUUCUCUCUAUGGAUAAUUUCCCAGACUCCAAAGGUGAGGAGAUGGACUCCACAGGGAAGGGUUAGGUUAGAGCCUUCAUUCUACCAGAAGGAAAGCCCUUGUCUGUGGCCCUUCUGCUUGUCUAGAAGGCUGGAGAAGCUGCCUGGCCACAGCUCUGCCCUCCUGCUGUGAGAGUCCAGUUUCCAGAACUCCCUGGAGGAUUCACGAGCCUCAGACAAUGAAGUGCCUCAUCUGGAGAGAAAGGAGGAGCACAGGGGUCACCAGAGUCCAUCUGGCUGCAGUGACCUUGGAGUGACUAUAGCUGCUUACUCCUGUUGACUGAAGCCACUCAGCAGGGCUCAAGGAGGAGAAGUCCCAUCCAGAAAGAGGAGCCAUGGCCAACCAAGGAUAGCAGCACUCCUGACCAUGGCGAUGUGAGGGCAUCACCUCCCAUGAGGGGUACAGCUGGAUGUUACGCCACACGCACUGUCAACCUCACUGGGCUUUCAGGCCAUGUUUCACAUGUCUGCCUCCCAGUGCUUUGUCAUUUCAGCAACGGGAAGAUAAAUCAAUACUACAUGUGGUCAGGGACUGGAGUCCCUGAGUUAGAUGUGUCAUAUUAAAAUCAAUAAAUCAUGUAAUGAAAAGUUAUUGGUGAAAAAUCAUUAAUUGUCCCAGUGCUGUGAUUAAAUUCUGUAAUUCUGUGUUUACUGUCAGGCAGUGAAAGUUCUACAUGUUUUACACAUUGAUGCUAAAUAAUGUGUCAAGUCCUUGCAGCCACAUCACCGUCACUGUCUGCACCUCUGAAUAGUCGUGGCUCGAUGGGCUGGGCUGGAAGGCAGGCUGGAUUCUUAGCAAUGGAAGUGGGGAUGAGGUAGGUACUGGGACAAGGAGGAGUGACCCAUUUGUGGAGGUGGAUUCUGAGGAAGGUGGCCAAAAAAUUCCUGUGUCCACAUCGUAAUUAGGUUUGGCAAAUGAUGAGGGUUUGCUAGGAUCCAAGUAUGGGACAAAGAAAGGGGAGUCUCUUGGCAUAGACGAGAAGCAAGGGUAGGUGGGUAGCCACCCGAAAGUUCAUCAGG